rnacentral:lncRNA from 10 species
UUCCUAUACUACCCUUUAAUGCAACAAUGGGAUGAAGAGAUGAAGACUUCUAGCAGGCUACCUCAGAAAGGUUGCUGACCAAAGGCUGUAUGGACCAAAAAGUCAUAACACCACCCUGGAUGAAAGGACAUUUACCUAAGGAAUUACCCGCUCUCAAUUCUUCCCAGGGAUGGGCAUUUGAAUUAUUUCCAGUUUUUGGCUAUUAUGAAAAAAACUGCUAUGAACAUUCAUACACAAGUGUGUGUGUGGACCCAUGUUUUCACUGAUCAAGGCCUAAAUACCUACGUGGUGCUUCGUGAACCCUGGAUGCUACAGUCUCUGGCCACAGCACUAAAUGUAUGCUGAGAUCUGGCUUCACGGUCGAGGGUGUUGCUGGUUUUCAAUGUGCCUGACAUAGGAUCAAUGGUGAAUGCACCAGAAGCCUCAUCAGUCAGAAAAUACUCAGUUUGCCCAUUCAGGCCUUCAUCCUUGUCCACAGCUGAAAGCACAAGAACCACUGUUCCCACUUCAGCAUCUUCUCUCACAGAGGACUGGUAAUAAAGUGUGGGAAAAGAA